rnacentral:rRNA from 1 species
GAUGAACGCUGGCGGCGUGCUUAACACAUGCAAGUCGAACGGUGAAGCAGGAGCUUGCUCUUGUGGAUCAGUGGCGAACGGGUGAGUAACACGUGAGCAACCUGCCCCUGACUCUGGGAUAAGCGCUGGAAACGGCGUCUAAUACUGGAUAUGUGAUGUGACCGCAUGGUCUGCAUCUGGAAAGAAUUUCGGUUGGGGAUGGGCUCGCGGCCUAUCAGCUUGUUGGUGAGGUAAUGGCUCACCAAGGCGUCGACGGGUAGACGGCCUGAGCUGGUUACCAGCCGCACUGGAGCUGGGACGCGGGCCAGACUCCGACGGGAGGCAGCAGUGGGGAAUAUUGCAGAAUGGGGGGGAGCCAGAAGCAGCAACGCCGCGUGAGGGAUAACGGGCUUCGGGUUGUAAACCUCUUUUAGCAGGGAAGAGGCGAAAGUGACGGUACCUGCAGAAAAAGCACCGGCUAACUACGUGCCAGCCGCCGCAGUAA